GGCAGCAGUGGGGAAUAUUGGACAAUGGGCGAAAGCCUGAUCCAGCCAUGCCGCGUGUGUGAAGAAGGUCUUCGGAUUGUAAAGCACUUUAAGUUGGGAGGAAGGGCAUUAACCUAAUACGUUAGUGUUUUGACGUUACCGACAGAAUAAGCACCGGCUAACUCUGUGCCAGCAGCCGCGGUAAUACAGAGGGUGCAAGCGUUAAUCGGAAUUACUGGGCGUAAAGCGCGCGUAGGUGGUUUGUUAAGUUGGAUGUGAAAUCCCCGGGCUCAACCUGGGAACUGCAUUCAAAACUGACAAGCUAGAGUAUGGUAGAGGGUGGUGGAAUUUCCUGUGUAGCGGUGAAAUGCGUAGAUAUAGGAAGCAACACCAGKGCGAAGGCGACCA
rnacentral:rRNA from 1 species